rnacentral:tRNA from 1 species
GCCAAUUUAGUUUCAAUUAGGUAAAAUGUUCUCUAGAUAGCGCAUAGAGAAAGAUGUAGGUUCAAAUCCUGUAAUUGGCA